rnacentral:rRNA from 1 species
CCUACGGGGGGCAGCAGUGGGGAAUAUUGCACAAUGGGUGAAACCCUGAUGCAGCGACGCCGCGUGAGUGAAGAAGUAAUUCGGUAUGUAAAACUCUAUCAGCAGGGAAGAAAAUGACGGUACCUGAGUAAGAAGCCCCGGCUAACUACGUGCCAGCAGCCGCGGUAAUACGUAGGGGGCAAGCGUUAUCCGGAUUUACUGGGUGUAAAGGGAGCGUAGACGGCGGUGCAAGUCUGGAGUGAAAGGCGGGGGCUCAACCCCCGGACUGCUCUGGAAACUGUACGGCUGGAGUGCAGGAGAGGUAAGUGGAAUUCCUAGUGUAGCGGUGAAAUGCGUAGAUAUUAGGAGGAACACCAGUGGCGAAGGCGGCUUACUGGACUGUAACUGACGUUGAGGCUCGAAAGCGUGGGGAGCAAACAGGAUUAGAUACCCUUGUAGUC